UAACAAGGCUAUUUUUAAAAUGUAAGGAGUAGAGAUAAUUGCGUGAAAAUGUAAAAAGUAUUGGUUGAAAAAGAAUUACUUCAGUAAAGCAUAGAUACCCCAAAUUUCUACUUGAGUACAGUAACAAAGUAUUUGUAGUUCAUUACUUGACACCUCUGCCUGUCAUAAUAAAACGUUAAGUAACCUCUGAGAAGCCUAUCUGAAUUUGUGUCUUGUAAUAUAACACAUUUCUAUAAAGGAGGCAUAGCAUAGCAUUGACAUUAAUAAGGCAUCUUUGAGUAAACUUUGAGUAUCUGUUUGCUGGGCUGAGUGUCCUGUUUUUUUGGUAAUCAAAAUAUGGUUACCCUACGCUAUAUAAAUAAAGGUAACUUGACUUUUUUUUUACAGAAGCAGACUCAUGAGAUGGAUUUGGAAGUGAACAGGAGUUUAUUGACAACAGAGCGGGAACAGAAUGCAGAUAUGAAGACUGAUGGUGGGUGAGAUGGAUGACAGGAACGGGGAGCAUCGAAUACAAUGGAGAAACAGAGGAGAGGAAAGACGAGACGCUAGAGAUGGAGAAUCGGGAUUGGAGGUCGUAAGGAAAGCAGAGCGGAUCCAAAAGACAUGAGAGAACGUGCCGCACCACCUUGUAUCUCACGGAGGAGCUACAGAAGCAUAAAAGGAGAAGCGACGACAGUGAAAGAUGAGAGAGGACCAGUUAUGGACUUUAUAUUAUGUUUUUGUGUGUGUGUGUGUGUGCAGCUGUUGUCUGUGAGGGGCUGCUGCUUUUUCUUUCGUUUUUUGUUUGUUUUGUUAUUAAAGUGUUGAACGCUCGCCGGUUCCAGCCUCCUUCUUCCCUGAAAAACAUAACUUGUUAAUUUUUUUAAUGAAAA